GCCUGGUUUGCACAGAGGUGCCAGGCCCUCAGCGCCCUCAUACGCCUCACCUCCAUCACCCCCUGCAGGGAGCUGCUUGACAUACAGGAGAAGGUCUGUCAGCUUGGAGUGGUGACAGCGCCCCGCAGCAGCCAUGCGUUGGGUCUGCUAGGAGUGACCCAGCUGGCCCAGUACGACAGCGAGCCACAGUCCGAACGGGGCCAGGUGGCCUUGGCUGAUGCCUGUCUAAGCUUCCAGGCCAGUAUUGAGUUGGAGGGGUCCUCACAGACUGGAGAUGCCCCUGAGAAGCUAGCAAAGCAGCCGUGGUGGCAGGAGCGUCUGGCUCAGAAGGCGGGGGCUGCCAAGCAGACAGCCAGCAAAUCCACAGGGGCGCCGGGGCCAUCUGAGGCAGGGGCUGCUGGGAAGGGGACCGGGCGUGGGAGGGGAACCCCGGGCAGAGGGGGGGCCGUGGCAGCCGCUGCCAAGUCAGGUGCCGCGUCCCGAGGCGGUAAAGCUGUACCCACUGCCAAACCGGCACCGCCAGCAGCCAGAGGACGGGCUGCAGGGACUCCUCCAGCAAAGGCUGAUGGGGCAGCAAAGGCUCCAGGCAAACCCUCCUCUAAGACCCAGCUCUCUCCCAGCAAGUCCAAACAGGAGUGCAGCGGCCCUCUGGCUAAACCACAGGUGGAUGAGGCUCCAUCAUCAAACACCAGGAUUGCUGGCGUCAUUAACCCUAAAAGCCAUGCACCUCGUCUGGGGCUGGCCAGAGCUCUCACCCGGUCUGCAGAGACCCACCAGGAAGCUUGCAGCCUGUACCAGGAGGUCAUCUCCAUGGCACCAGAGGU
ensembl:lncRNA